ACCUGGCGGCCGGGAUGGCACCUUGGGACCUGAGUCUCAGGAGAGGCUGGCUGGGAGGUGCAGGGAGCACGACCAGGUUUAGAUGGUACAGAAGGGGAAACUAAGACUCAGAGAAGGAAAGAAAGAAGCUGCCGUUUUUAGAGAACACAUUAUCAUGUACUUGGUGUUUUACAUCCGUCAUCUCAUUAACUCUUCAAAUGGAAUCCUCCUAGUUCAUGAAAGGGAAACGCUAUCAAUGGGCUUCAAACCUAGACCUCAGGAUUAGCAUUCCAAGAUUCUUCACCACAGCUGCCACCAGGACUGGCUGCUCCAGAGGAUUGAAAAACAGGCUCAGAGAAGGAGAAGAGAUUGCCUAUGUUCACAUGAUGACUCCAUGAUUGAAUUGAGAUUUGAACUUCUGUCUUCUAAGUUUCUGCCUUGGACACUCAAAAGUAACAGACUUUGAAUUACCUUUUGAAAAGAUCCAUUUUUUCAUGUGUAAAAUGGGAGAUGAUGUCCCUUGUGUAAAGGGUCCUUAGGAGAAUUCAGUGGAAUAGCACGUGCAGAGUUCUGGUACACUGACUCAUGAAAUACCCAUUUGUUGGUUAUGACCACCCCACUUGAAGGCAGAAAGAUCACUAGAGGGAGGCAGCUUGCCCUGCAUCUUGGUUUGGAGGGCUCUAAACAUCCUGCCCUCCUAGCUUCAUCCAAUCUCUGAAGAAAAAAAUCUGGACAUUGGCUAUGAGCUGGAGGAGCCUGAACUGUCUCUGUUUUCAAGACAUGCAAUUCUGGGCUCAGACGGUCUCCUAGAACCAGCUUCAGUACUGACCCUAAGGAAAUCUGUGAAGUCGGAGUGAGCAUUCGAUUUUGAGCCCUGGAUUCCAGACUUUUCCGUGACACUGACUCACCCUUGACCUUGAAAGAAUCAAGCAACUUUCUGGACCUCAGUUUCCUCAUCUGGAAAGUAAGAUCGAGCCCCUCCCGCAGAUGUGCCCUUACCUCAUCUAUUUCCCCAUGGCUAAGCCUGGUGAGGAUGACAGGAAAAGAGGAGAAAUGGCAAACAGCUUUGGUGGCGAGAGCUCCCUUUCCAUGACCUGGACAACGGGAGGCCAAAGGAUGCUGAUUAUCGAGCACUUCCGAUAUGCCAGGCACUCGUCACUCACCCCAGGUGCCUCUCCAAUCAAGAGGUACGAGAUCUGAAUUCAAACCCUCAGCUCUGUGGCUGUCUCGCUCUGUGCCCUUGGGCAAAUCCCUCUUUCUCUCCAAGUCUCAGUCCCCUUACCCAGUGCUAUCCAGCCUUGUAGGUUUCAAUGGGUUGAUGUCCAAAACAAAUCAAGAAGCAAACAAAUGUAGAAGGUGGUUCCUGGGACAAUGUGGACAGAUUUGGGGAGUCCUUUGGAGAACAAAGUCCCCCCAGUUCUCCCAGAUGUGCCUCACUCAUC